UAAGAACACACAAAUAGCAACCCAUUCUCACUCCAAAGGCGUCAAAAACCGAAGCAUGGUCAAGCGCCCCUAGCGUCACUUUUAUGACGCCAAAUGUGCCUCUCGGCGUCGAAUAUCGAAGCACUACGACCUUCAUUGCUUUCAGUGGGAAACUUUUGGCGUCAGAAUUUUGACGCGAGGACAUGAGAUGUUUAUCGCUAUGAAAUCACGUUCAAGAAGUCUCAUUCAGCACACAUCGCGAUACUUGCUAUCGGUUCCACAGUUUGGCUGAAAAGACGUAAAGGAAGCAGUCAGCCCAGUGGUGUUUCUGGAGAGGUAUUCCUUCAGAUAUGGAGAAGGCAGAAAGCUGCGGAGGCAGACAUUUGCAGCAGAUUGUUUGCAGAUAAUGCUGUUCUUCUUUUUCUUCAGGUCUACAAUAUCGAGCUCAACAGCUCUUUUAAGAGCCAACCCUCACAAACCUUCCUAAAAACUAAAAGAGCUAUUACUGAGUCUCAGCGAAUCUUGCCAUGAUCAGCUCUUCCCAGAAGAGAAGGAAGACCAAGGAAAUGAUUUGCUCAGGAUGAGGAAUGAAGACGGCCAUCUUGUGCUCAAACAAACAGAAGUCCUCUGAUGAUCUCAUCAGCCAAAUGAGGGGUUUUGACCAAGUGAUGCUCUUGAAAGGAGUGAAAGAAGAGGAUGUGGUAAAUUGUCUUCAAAGAAAAAGCUUCUCUAAAGGUCUUAAAACAGCUUGAAGAAUGGUCUGGGAUGUUAGGACUGAGAGAUCCUCUGGCUUAGAACAAGCUACACCACAUCAGUGCUGGAUAUCAACCACAAACUGUUUCCAGACAAGAGAGAAGAAGAUCAUGAUGGGGAAAUGAAACCAGUUUCGAUGUCAUGAUAAGGAAUCAUUAUUUUCUGGAACAGUAUCACAUGUCUUAUAAGUAUCACAUGAUCUGUAUCACAGUUGACUGGAUGGGACUGUGUGACUUUUAAGGACAUUUCAUCACUCCUCUGUGUGAACUGAUUAAUAUAUGAGGUUAAUGUAUUUUUGAUGAUAAUUAUUUUCCUUGAAUCUUAUUUGUCUUGAUGCUACUUUAUCAACUUUAUAGUCUAUGCUUCAAUAAAAUGAAAAUGGUGAA